rnacentral:lncRNA from 1 species
GGAGGAAGCGCUGACACCCGUUGAGCCUCUGCUGUUUGGACAUGUGUUUGUCAAGGAGCAGCUGGCCCCGGCCUGUCCCCACCAGACAAAUGGUUUCACCCUCUCCAGGCCCAGAGACUUCAUCUCCGCUUUGACUAAGGAAAGAGACUCCAUUGUGGGCUGUAUAUCAAGUGACAACAACCAGUCUUCCACCAGGCCAGGGGAAAGUCUACCAACUUCGCCAAGAGAUCUGUCAUCCAGUCAGGCUCAGGCAAACAACUACAACCCCGGGUACACCUCCACUGACAUGUCCACGGCUUCUACAGCAUUAGGGCAUCACCACAGAACACAACCUGAAGAGCCGAGCUCUAGUUUGUGCUUCUCUUCCAGUAACAGCCCGUUGACGUCAGCCAUGAACUCAGAUUGUAGAGUCACCGGGUUCAGGGACUACUGCUCUAACUGGGAGGUCCAUUCAAAAACUGAAGAGAGGGAGAAAAGAGAGGGGUCAGAGGAGCUGAGUGACCUGUGUGGCCCUGUUUAUUCAGUCAGAGAAGAAUCAACAUCUAUAAACAUCAUUAUUCAGCCAGCACACUCUGAGCCAAAUAUCUCUGCUCACAGCAUACCACAGUGGGAAAUGUCCAAAGAUGGAGAUGAGCAGGGCAAAUAUGAGCAGGAUAUAGCAGCUGCCCAAUGUAUACAAGAUAAAUACGCACCAGAAUACAAAAUGUCCACAGGACACACUGACAACAAAGAUGGGAGUGUUUGCUUGGUUUGCCCAGGACCCAUGGAUGGAGAGGCAUCCCCAGGGGAGCUAGUUCUGAUGGUAGCGACUACACAGAGUCAGGCUCCAACAGAGUACCACAAAUCUACAAAGCCAGGACUUGGCGUAGAUCAAUCCCAGAGGGAAACACUUUACCUGGCGGAGGGAGGCGCCACCGCCCUGGGAUCCUCCGGUGGGCCACAGAAAGAUGAGCCCCCAAGCGUUCAGAUGAAACUAAAUGAGACAAAGUAUGAUUCUUCCUCACAAACCAGGAUGAUUCUUCAAGGUUCAGCCGUGGUCUUUACGGAAGAGACCCCUUAUUUCAGAUCCUCAGGAGAACUGGUUGCAACCCCAGACGAUCACAAAGCAAGUGCACCAAGUCCAUGGUCAUCGGUUCAAAACACUGAAUCCAAUCCUACCCGACCACGCGUUCCUUCGGUGCAGUCGGCAGACUGUCUACCAACAUUCACCAGCCAGAGGCCGCAGAACCUACCCACUGCUAUGGGUAAACGGGCUCUGUCUAACAC